CAUCAAGUCUUGUGUGGGUGGAAAAAAAACAGAGCACGGCUGAGAGAGAGGGAGACCAAGAGGGAGGAAGAAAAGGGAAGAAGAAAGCCUCGUGGAAUAUCAAAAUUUAAGUUAAAAAUUAUGAAAAAUUCAUCCUAAGGUCACGCGCUAUUGUCUGCCUGAUUUGUGAUCUGUCUGAUCUGCUUCUGCAACUAUCUGUGAACAGACGCGUGACCAGGCUUAAAGGCAUCUACCUGGAAUAUGUUUUUGUUAGUCAACCUAUGUGCCUCCCGUGGAGGUUCUAGAUAUGUCAAGUGACUAUGGCUACGUGAUUUAAAGUUUAAGUUUUGUUUUCUUGAUUGGUUAGACAAGUCUUGUGUACUUUGUAAAUAUUGCUAAGUCCCUCUUUGUCUAAUCUGUGUAUAUAUGUAUAUAAAGUUUAAAUUUUUUUUGUCU